rnacentral:rRNA from 1 species
UACGUAGGCAGCGAGCGUUGUUCGGAGUUACUGGGCGUAAAGGGUGCGUAGGCGGCGGGGUAAGUCUGAUGUGAAAUCCUGGGGCUCAACCCUGGAACUGCAUUGGAUACUGCCUUGCUAGAGAACUGGAGAGGAGACUGGAAUUUACGGUGUAGCAGUGAAAUGCGUAGAGAUCGUAAGGAAGACCAGUGGCGAAGGCGAGUCUCUGGACAGUUACUGACGCUGAGGCACGAAGGCCAGGGGAGCAAACGGG